GCGAGUGUCUUACUACAGCGCCCGUCCGAGCUGCCUUUGUUCUGCCGAGCUGCCUGCCCGCGCUCUCGUGAAAAGUCUGGUACUGGAGCUUCGAAUCGUAGUGUAUGGAAGACUGUUGAAGGUUGUGCUUUUGUGGAGCUGGAGUUCAUCGGAAGUUCUACAGUGCUUGCGCCAGAAAAACGUCGGUGCCUCGGUACCUUUGAGACGAAGGAGCGUUGGCCAAGUCUUUUUGAAAGGCUAUGCGGAUUCUGGAGGCAUCCCUACAUCAAGCAGGAACCUGCUGCACUGCUGGAAGCUGGACAGCACGACAAUAAAGCACGUGAUCUGUGUGCUUUCUCAAAGGUAGACAUCGGCGACGGUGUAUAUGUUGAAAAGUGCCUGCUGAAGAGGCUGCGCCUGGAUGCUAACAACUCAGGCUUUCAGUUCGCGGGGGCCUCCUUAAGGCUCCUUUUACAAAAGAAGAGAUUGAAGGGAGGCGCUACACAUGGAUGCGCAGCGAUUGUUUGUGACAUCGUCACUGCUGGCAGGCCUGGCCUGCCUUUUCGCUUCGUUCUGGGUCUUCCACGUUAUCUACUCGAAAAAGGCCCACAGGAUUUUGACAUUUAUUGAGCACUGCUUUCUGGAUUUGAGCUACACAAAGCUGCAGGUGAAAGCAUUGGAUUUAGUCAAUAUUUACAAGAACUAUUGCUAGGCAAAAAAAUUUUCAGAUGCAUAUCCUCAAGAAAGUUUCUGUAAAAAUUAUUUUGCCUAACAAAAGCACUCGUGGGUUCUGUGGCUGGCAGCUUGCCCAAGCCAUGUAGCACAGUGCUUGCUUUAAAGGGACACGAAAGGGAAAAUUUAUUUGAGCGUUAUUAAAUCAUUUUUCUACAACACCGAAAAAACAACUCCCUCCAUGAGAAUUGGCUUGAUAAGCCAGAUAACUUGCAAAAACGAAAACUGGUGUCGCCACC
rnacentral:lncRNA from 1 species